UACGAAGGGGGCUAGCGUUGCUCGGAAUCACUGGGCGUAAAGGGUGCGUGGGCGGGUCUUUAAGUCAGGGGUGAAAUCCUGGAGCUCAACUCCAGAACUGCCUUUGAUACUGAGGAUCUUGAGUUCGGGAGAGGUAAGUGGAACUGCGAGUGUAGAGGUGAAAUUCGUAGAUAUUCGCAAGAACACCAGUGGCGAAGGCGGCUCACUGGCCCGAUACUGACGCUGAGGCACGAAAGCGUGGGGAGCAAACAGG
rnacentral:rRNA from 1 species